GAUGAACGCUGGCGGCGUGCCUAAUACAUGCAAGUCGAGCGAACAGAUGAGGAGCUUGCUCCUCUGACGUUAGCGGCGGACGGGUGAGUAACACGUGGAUAACCUACCUAUAAGACUGGGAUAACUUCGGGAAACCGGAGCUAAUACCGGAUAAUAUAUUGAACCGCAUGGUUCAAUAGUGAAAGACGGUUUUGCUGUCACUUCUAGAUGGAUCCGCGCCGCAUUAGCUAGUUGGUAAGGUAACGGCUUACCAAGGCAACGAUGCGUAGCCGACCUGAGAGGGUGAUCGGCCACACUGGAACUGAGACACGGUCCAGACUCCUACGGGAGGCAGCAGUAGGGAAUCUUCCGCAAUGGGCGAAAGCCUGACGGAGCAACGCCGCGUGAGUGAUGAAGGUCUUCGGAUCGUAAAACUCGGUUAUUAGGGAAGAACAAAUGUGUAAGUAACUAUGCACGUCUUGACGGUACCUAAUCAGAAAGCCACGGCUAACUACGUG
rnacentral:rRNA from 1 species